CAGGUGGAGGAUAGAUGAAGGACAGAUGGAGGAUAGAUGGAGGAUAGAUGGAGGACAGAUGGAGGAUAGAUGGAGGACAGGUGGAGGAUAGAUGGAGGAUAGAUGGAGGACAGAUGGAGGAUAGAUGGAGGACAGGUGGAGGAUAGAUGGAGGAUAGAUGGAGGACAGGUGGAGGAUAGAUGGAGGACAGGUGGAGGAUAGAUGGAGGAUAGAUGGAGGAUAGAUUGAGGACAGGUGGAGGACGGAUGGAGGACAGGUGGAGGAUAGAUGGAGGACAGGUGGACGAUAGAUGGAGGACAGGUGGACGAUAGAUGGAGGACAGGUGGAGGAUAGAUGGAGGACAGGUGGAGGAUAGAUGGAGGAUAGAGGGAGGACAGAUGGAGGACAGGUGGACGAUAGAUGGAGGACAGGUGGAGGAUGGAUGGAGGAUAGGUGGAGGAUAGAGGGAGGACAGAUGGAGGACAGGUGGAGGAUAGAUGGAGGACAGGUGGAGGAUAGAUGGAGGACAGGUGGAGGAUAGAGGGAGGACAGAUGGAGGACAGGUGGAGGAUAGAUGGAGGACAGGUGGAGGAUAGAUGGAGGACAGGUGGAGGACAGGUGGAGGACAGGUGGAGGAUAGAUGGAGGACAGGUGGAGGACAGGUGGAGGAUAGAUGGAGGACAGGUGGAGGAUAGAUGGAGGACAGGUGGAGGACAGGUGGAGGACAGGUGGAGGAUAGAUGGAGGACAGGUGGAGGACAGGUGGAGGAUAGAUGGAGGAUAGAUGGAGGAUAGAGGGAGGACAGGUGGACGAUAGAUGGAGGACAGGUGGAGGAUAGAUGGAGGACAGGUGGAGGAC